AACGAACGUUGGCGGCGUGGAUGAGGCAUGCAAGUCGAACGCGAAAGCCGCAAGGCGAGUAAAGUGGCGGACGGGCGAGUAACACGUAAUCAAGCUACCUGCGAGACGGGGAUAACUUCGGGAAACCGAAGCUAAGACCCGAUGGUCUUCUAGGAACGCAUGUUCCAUGAAGUAAAUGGGCGAGAUCCUCCGGGAUCGCCUGCUCGCAGAGGUGAUUGCGGCCCAUCAGCUAGUUGGUAGGGUAAUGGCCUACCAAGGCAACGACGGGUAGCCGGCCUUAGAGGGUGGUCGGCCGCACUGGGACUGAGACACUGCCCAGACUCCUACGGGAGGCUGCAGUCGAGAAUCUUCCGCAAUGGGCGAAAGCCUGACGGAGCGACGCCGCGUGGAGGAUGAAGG
rnacentral:rRNA from 1 species